CCUACGGGUGGCUGCAGUGGGGAAUAUUGGACAAUGGGGGGAACCCUGAUCCAGCCAUGCCGCGUGUGUGAAGAAGGCCCUCGGGUUGUAAAGCACUUUCAGUGAGGAAGAACGCCUGGUGGUUAAUACCCAUCAGGAAAGACAUCACUCACAGAAGAAGCACCGGCUAACUCCGUGCCAGCAGCCGCGGUAAUACGGAGGGUGCGAGCGUUAAUCGGAAUUACUGGGCGUAAAGCGCGCGUAGGUGGCUUGAUAAGCCGGUUGUGAAAGCCCCGGGCUCAACCUGGGAACGGCAUCCGGAACUGUCAAGCUAGAGUGCAGGAGAGGAAGGUAGAAUUCGCGGUGUAGCGGUGAAAUGCGUAGAGAUCGGGAGGAAUACCAGUGGCGAAGGCGGCCUUCUGGACUGACACUGACACUGAGGUGCGAAAGCGUGGGUAGCAAACAGGAUUAGAUACCCGUGUAGUC
rnacentral:rRNA from 1 species